rnacentral:hammerhead_ribozyme from 1 species
AUUUAGCUGAUGAGUUGCAAAUAAAACGAAAUGCCCGUUCUGAAU